CCUACGGGAGGCAGCAGUGAGGAAUAUUGGUCAAUGGGAGAGAUCCUGAACCAGCCAAGCCGCGUGAGGGAAGACGGCCCUAUGGGUUGUAAACCUCUUUUGUCGGAGAACAAAACCCGGGACGUGUCCCGGACUGCGUGUAUCCGAAGAAAAAGCAUCGGCUAACUCCGUGCCAGCAGCCGCGGUAAUACGGAGGAUGCGAGCGUUAUCCGGAUUUAUUGGGUUUAAAGGGGGCGUAGGCGGUCCGUUAAGUCAGCGGGAAAAUUGCGGGGCUCAACCCCGUCGAGCCGUUGAGACGGGCAGACUUGAGUUGGCGAGAAGUACGCGGAAUGCGCGGUGUAGCGGUGAAAUGCAUAGAUAUCGCGCAGAACUCCGAUUGCGAAGGCAGCGUACCGGCGCCAGACUGACGCUGAGGCACGAAAGCGUGGGGAUCGAACAGGAUUAGAUACCCUAGUAGUC
rnacentral:rRNA from 1 species